rnacentral:rRNA from 1 species
AUAAGUAACGAUAAAGCGGGUGAAAAGCCCGCUCGCCGGAAGACCAAGGGUUCCUGUCCAACGUUAAUCGGGGCAGGGUGAGUCGACCCCUAAGGCGAGGCCGAAAGGCGUAGUCGAUGGGAAACGGGUUAAUAUUCCCGUACUUGGUGUUACUGCGAAGGGGGGACGGAGAAGGCUAUGUUGGCCGGGCGACGGUUGUCCCGGUUUAAGCGUGUAGGUGUGUGUUCCAGGUAAAUCCGGUUCACUUUAACACUGAGGCGUGAUGACGAGGCACUACGGUGCUGAAGCAACAAAUGCCCUGCUUCCAGGAAAAGCCUCUAAGCAUCAGGUAACAUCAAAUCGUACCCCAAACCGACACAGGUGGUCAGGUAGAGAAUACCAAGGCGCUUGAGAGAACUCGGGUGAAGGAACUAGGCAAAAUGGUGCCGUAACUUCGGGAGAAGGCACGCUGACACGUAGGUGAAGUGAUUUACUCAUGGAGCUGAAGUCAGUCGAAGAUACCAGCUGGCUGCAACUGUUUAUUAAAAACACAGCACUGUGCAAACACGAAAGUGGACGUAUACGGUGUGACGCCUGCCCGGUGCCGGAAGGUUAAUUGAUGGGGUCAGCGCAAGCGAAGCUCCUGAUCGAAGCCCCGGUAAACGGCGGCCGUAACUAUAACGGUCCUAAGGUAGCGAAAUUCCUUGUCGGGUAAGUUCCGACCUGCACGAAUGGCGUAAUGAUGGCCAGGCUGUCUCCACCCGAGACUCAGUGAAAUUGAACUCGCUGUGAAGAUGCAGUGUACCCGCGGCAAGACGGAAAGACCCCGUGAACCUUUACUAUAGCUUGACACUGAACAUUGAGCCUUGAUGUGUAGGAUAGGUGGGAGGCUUUGAAGUGUGGACGCCAGUCUGCAUGGAGCCGGCCUUGAAAUACCACCCUUUAAUGUUUGAUGUUCUAACGUGGACCCGUGAUCCGGGUUGCGGACAGUGUCUGGUGGGUAGUUUGACUGGGGCGGUCUCCUCCUAAAGAGUAACGGAGGAGCACGAAGGUUGGCUAAUCCUGGUCGGACAUCAGGAGGUUAGUGCAAUGGCAUAAGCCAGCUUGACUGCGAGCGUGACGGCGCGAGCAGGUGCGAAAGCAGGUCAUAGUGAUCCGGUGGUUCUGAAUGGAAGGGCCAUCGCUCAACGGAUAAAAGGUACUCCGGGGAUAACAGGCUGAUACCGCCCAAGAGUUCAUAUCGACGGCGGUGUUUGGCACCUCGAUGUCGGCUCAUCACAUCCUGGGGCUGAAGUAGGUCCCAAGGGUAUGGCUGUUCGCCAUUUAAAGUGGUACGCGAGCUGGGUUUAGAACGUCGUGAGACAGUUCGGUCCCUAUCUGCCGUGGGCGCUGGAGAACUGAGGGGGGCUGCUCCUAGUACGAGAGGACCGGAGUGGACGCAUCACUGGUGUUCGGGUUGUCAUGCCAAUGGCACUGCCCGGUAGCUAAAUGCGGAAGAGAUAAGUGCUGAAAGCAUCUAAGCACGAAACUUGCCCCGAGAUGAGUUCUCCCUGAGACUUUAGGUCUCCUGAAGGAACGUUGAAGACGACGACGUUGAUAGGCCGGGUGUGUAAGCGCAGCGAUGCGUUGAGCUAACCGGUACUAAUGAACCGUGAGGCUUAACCUUACA